GCAUGACACUAAGAAAAUCUGAUGUGGUUAGCUCCGGGCAGUCACCACUUCUUUAUAUGUGGAUUAUCCCCCAACGAACGUCCGGCAUCUGCGGUCAUCCGGGAAUGCGUCCAGGCAAUGAUCUAGCGCUCAGAAGGAACAAGAGCUAAUUUCAACGCCUCUGGGGUGCUGGUGCAUGCUAGACUCUCCACUCACCCACACUCGGAUGAACUAGACAGACGCAAGAUUAUUCCAAGAUGACUGAGAAGUUCACUCUGAAGUACAAAAGGUUGGAUGGACACAUGCCGCCAAUAUUCCACAGGAAUGAAGAGGAAUAUUUGCCAAGGUCGCUUUCAGAUGCCCAUCGUGGCAGAACAAGGGAGUCUCUACCACCUGGACUGAAGACUGACUUGGAUCUCGGGGCCAACAGAACUUUGUUCCAAGUUCCAAGGCCAUCGUUGGAAUCAGUGGGUCAUCAACAGCGCACUAGAGGGCACUGAGCUAAAGGUGGUGGCAGAUGCAUGGCAUGUGCGUGCUGGAGGGUAGGAGUGUGGGUGGAGGAACUGAUGGUGGAACCUGCAUGAAUUAUUCUGGGCAAGUCUGCUCAGUCUUCAAAUGAUGGAGGUGGGUCACAGCCAGUCUGCUCGUGAUCCCUCAUGGCAGAAGGUGGCCUGGUACCCACAGGAGGCUAGGGGACAGAGCUCAGCAGCCCCUUCCAGUUUUAUUUUUUGAAUUCUUGUGGAAUUUGCAUUUCACACCCUAACAAAGGGUGUGCCUGCCUUGGGGAUUCAUGAAAACUUGACAAGAAAUCAGCAUUGUCCCCAUCAAACCUAGGCCCCACUUUUCCAAGCUCUCAUUUCCAGGUUUCCUCUUCCGUGGCUUUGCGUGAUUUCAUAUUUAUCUCGUAAGGAAUCAGUCAGUGUGGCCACUAACUCCCUUCAAACUCAGUACAAACCAGUUCCUCUCCUGCACAGGUCCCUGCACAUAUGGAAGCGCACAGGGGCACGGUUUGGGUAAGUUGCAUGCAUUUUGGUUGGGGUUUUUUCUGCAGUCAAUGGUCUGCCCUCACCCUGUGCAAUGCGGCAGGAAUGUGAGGCCUGAGAGGCAAGGAGGGCAGAGCUGCUGGGGAGGGAGCGGCUUCACAGCCGGCAGGGAGGUGAGGGCCACACAAGUAACAGCAGGUUUCCUCUGCCUUUGCUGCCCAUUCAUGCUCCAAGAGGAAGAAAAGAAACAAGGGAAAACUUUCAUUCGCCCUCAGAUUAUUUUAUUCCAACUUGGAGAGAGAAGGCCUGGAUUUGAGCCCUGUUUCUGCCACUUCUGAGUUGUUUGAACUUGAUAAUGAGCUGAUCUGUUACCGCAGCUGUGAAGGGAGCUCCAGUAAUGUCUUUCCUGUCUCAUUCACAGGAUUAUUGGGAGAAUGCAUGAGUCAAUGGCUACGGAAAAUGCUGCACACCUACUCUGUGAAGAGGGAAGCGCCAAGAACAACUGCCACUUUCAUUUGGGGUCAGGAUUCUUGAUUCCUGCUGUCUGUUGACGUCUAUAAUCUUGGUGUUAUGCUUACAAGGGAGAGCCUCAAGCAGUAUUAAGUAUAUUAUUUUAAGAAUGAUGUGGCUUCUGGCAUCAUAUUUUGAAAAUCAAAGAUUGUAAUUUUAGGGAUAAUGGAAUACUCAAAAGGGAGUAUUCUGUAAAACUGAGGGCGUAUGGUCAGCAGAGAGAUAUUCUUUACAAAUACUGGACUACGAAUUAGGAGACGACCUCAAGUCCCUCCUCCGUCAGUGAUCUUGAGCCAUUGUGGCAACACAUUCUGGGCCUUGUUCCCCCCCCAUCUGUAAAAUGGGGGUGUUUGACUCAUUGUUUCUUAACUGGGGUGAAUUCUGGAGUCACCUGGGAAGAUCCCCAAAGGCAGAAUUCUGGUUUUGUUUCUUGUUGUGUUUCUAAGGCAUAGAAAAGUACUUGGCACAGGGUAAAUACUCAAUAAAUAUUUUUUUAAUGAAGAAAUAAAACUUUUAAAAAAUUCACAGAGCAGGAUCCAGUCCAGAAUGCUCACAUCGUAUGGGCUAGAAACUGUACAUACAUUUUGUAAAAGCCCUCUGGAUCAUUUUGCCAAGCACUCUGGGCUUAAGAACCACUAAACCCAACAAUCCCCAAGGUUCCUUCCCUGAAGAAUUGUCAGAUUUAGCAAAGAAAAAUGUAAGACAUCCAGUUAAAUUUGAAUUUCAGAUAAACAAUGAAAAUGUUUUAGUGUAAAUAUGUACCAUGCUCUAUUUGGUUGUCGCAAAACUUGUAGAAAGAUGACUAGGUAAGGCUUCUGCUUAGGCUGAUGGUUAGAGGCAGAGGGUGGCACCUUGAAACUGGCCCAGAUUUGGGAAUCAGACAGAUAAUCUUGGUCUGAGUCUCUGCCCUGAUUGUGUGAUCUGAACAAAUUGCUCAACUUCACUGGGCUUCGUAACUCGAGUGUCUAUCCUGUAGAGCUGCUGAAAGUAUUGGAGAUAUUACAGGAAUGAUGGUAGCAGGUAUCUGAUAACGUUUAGCUGUUUUUACUGUUGGUUUGAAGAAAGAAACUCAGUAUCAAUGAGACCUUUGUUGAAACACUGUCAACUAGCAAACUGGCAUUCUGAAAUGACCAAGAUUAUAGAUAAUAGUUCUGGGCAGACCUGGGCAAAGUUAGAGGGAACGCUGAUCUUCUUUAGAACAAUACCUCUAUGUGUGGGGGAACAAAACAUACUAAAAAUUAAUAGAUUAUCCAGAAUAAAUAAAGGAAGGAAGUUCUUUCGUUUCAUUCAUUAUAAAAUGUCAUUUGCUCAACUGACUUUUUCUAAUGUCAAAGGUAAACAUUUGUUCAGGUUUUACAGGGUCACUAUACAGAGGGAUAGACUAUUAUUUGGGCAGUGGAAGUACUUCAAUCCUAACCUUGUUUCCCUCUCUUCUAGGUUAAAGACACAGUCUGUUUCUAGAGCUUCUGUUGUUUCUAGAAAUUUCUAACGCAUUUCUUCUGUUUAAAAAAUACACAUGCAACAAAUAUGAAAUAUUCAUUAAAAGGAAACGGUUCUCUCUAGAAAAAUCUAUUUGGACAAAAAUCUUUAGAUAAUUUCAUUAUCAAAUGUGAAGAGCUACGGGUGGAAAAUAAAUUGACCAUUACAUUUUCAACUGAGCUACUCGGAUAUCAACUGCAUACUUUAAGCCCCCUGUUGUUAUUUUGUUGUCUAUCCACCACAUAUUUAUUGUUGAGCCUGUAUUAUAUACUGGAGACUGUUCUAAGUGCUUGGGAUCCUUAGUGAACAAAACAGACCCAAAUCCUUGCCUCUGUGGAGCUUGUCUUCUGGGAUAGAGAGAGAAACAGAAGCAUCCUAGAUAAGUGAGUUAAGUAGGAUACAGAUGGCGCAAUCUGUUGGUGAUGGAAGGAGCCAUGCUGAUCUGGGGGAUGAGAACAGGGGCGUCAAGCACAAAUGACCUAAGGCAGGAGCCUGCCUGGAGUGUUCCAAGAAUAGCAAGGAGGCCAAUGUGGCUGCAGUGGAGAGAGGACAGAGGGAGUAGGAGGAGAGAAGACCAAGUAACUAUUAUCCUAAUCAUGAUAAAGGACUCCACGAAUCUAACUUCCAGUUUUGAGUUUUAGUUUACUUACUCUGUGACUACAGGGAGAUCCUGAACUGCUUACCUGGAAUGGUGGUCCUUAACUUGUAAAACAUGGGUAGGUUAGAGAUUUACUUCACAAAACUAUGACUAGAGGGAAUCAGUAUAUAGCUUAGUGAUGAUGUAUGUGCUUUAAUGGAUGGAUCUGAGUUCACAGUCUGACUUCCUUACUUGCUAGAGGUGUGCCCUUGGGCAAGUUCCUUCAACUCUCUGUGCUUCAAGUUCCAUCUCUAUGAAAUAAGGCAACUAAAAGUACCCCCUUUCAAACUGUGAGGGUUAGAGGAGAGGGUCUGUGUAAAAUGCUUAGCACAGAGCUUGGCACAUAGAAAGUACUAAAUAAAUAUCAUCAUUAUUUCUUGAAAAGUAUAAUUAGGAGGAUUAGGUACUCUGAAAUAUCUAUUUAAUAUUUAAUAUCAAAACAUGUUUUCAGUAAAAAUGUCUUAUUAUUGUUAUUACUAGUGGUAGCGAGCCUCCAAGAUGAUCCCCAAUGAUCCCUGUCUCUGAGUAUUCACACCCUUGUAUAGUCCCCUCCCACAUUGUACCAGGAUUGGUCUAUGUGACCAUAGAAUAUGGCAGAAGUGAUGGUAUGUCACUUUUGAGAUUAAGUUAUAAAAGACAUUGUGGCUACCAUCUUAGUCAUUCAUUCUCUCUCUCAAUCAUCACUUGUUCUGGGGGAAGCCAGCUGCCAUGUCAUGAGCAGCCCUAGGGAGAGGUAUCCCUUAUGGAGAAGUCCACGUGACAAAGAACUGAGGCUUUUUGCCAACACCAUGUGCGUUAGGGCCUUCUUGGAAGUGAACCCACUAGCCUUGGUCAAGUCUUCAGAUGAAAGCAGCCCUCACUGACGUCUCGACUGCCGCUUCAUGAGACCCUGAGGCAGAACUAUGCAGCUAAGCAGAUCCCAGAUUCCUGCCCCUCAGAAACUGAGAUGAUAAAUGUUUGUUGUCUCAAACUUCUAAGUUUUGGGGUAAUU
ensembl:lncRNA